GAUGAACGCUGGCGGCGUGCUUAACACAUGCAAGUCGAACGAGAAGUGAAGACGGAAACCUUCGGGCGGAAGGCUUUAUUUCGAGUGGCGGACGGGUGAGUAACGCGUGGGUAACCUGCCUCAUACAGGGGGAUAACAGUUGGAAACGACUGUUAAUACCGCAUAAGACCACAGCACCGCAUGGUGCGGGGGUAAAAACUCCGGUGGUAUGAGAUGGACCCGCGUUCGAUUAGCCAGUUGGCGGGGUAACGGCCCACCAAAGCGACGAUCGAUAGCCGAUCUGAGAGGAUGACCGGCCACAUUGGGACUGAGACACGGCCCAAACUCCUACGGGAGGCAGCAGUGGGGAAUAUUGCACAAUGGGGGAAACCCUGAUGCAGCGACGCCGCGUGAGUGAAGAAGUAUUUCGGUAUGUAAAGCUCUAUCAGCAGGGAAGAAAAUGACGGUACCUGAGUGAGAAGCCCCGGCUAACUACGUG
rnacentral:rRNA from 1 species